CUACAAUGAAGGUGGUAUUGGAAAAUAUUUAGGAUUGCCUGAGCAGUUUGGAUCAAAGAAGAGUGAGAUGUUUGCAUAUAUUGUGGAUAAAGGGUACAAGGAUGGAAACAAAAACAUCUUACACAGGGAGGCAAGGAAGUACUUCUCAAAUCUAUUGCAUUGGCAAUGCCUAUAUUCUCUAUGAAUAUUUUCCGGUUACCAAAGGAAAUUUGCGAGGAGAUUAAUGCAAUUUUGGCAAGAUUUUGGUGGGGUUCAGGUGAGAAAAGAGGAUUACAUUGGUAUGCUUGGAAGAGAGUAUGCAUUCCUAAGAAAGAAGGAGGACUGGGAUUUCGAGAUUUGGAAAGCUUCAACCAAGCACUUCUGGGGAAACAGGUAUGGAGAAUACUGCAGAACCCAAAUAUAUUGAUGGCAAGGAUUCUGAGAGCACGUUAUUUCCCUGAUGGUGAUAUCUUAAGUGCUACACUCAAGAGAAAGUCUUCUUAUGCUUGGAAAUCAAUUCUUCAUGGAAAGGAAUUGAUACUAAAAGGGAUGAGAUAUAUAAUUGGAAAUGGAACAACGACAAAGAUGUGGACAGACUCCUGGCUAAGCUUACGCCCACCAAGACCUCCACGGCCAAGGAGGGUAAUCAAUCACAAUACGAGGGUCAGUGAUUAUAUCAAUGAAAAUAGAACGGGAUGGAAUCUGGAGAAUCUUAGAGAAGACGUGGUGUAGGAUGAUAUUGUCAAAAUACUGGCACUAAGGAUAUCUCCCAAGGCAGAGCAAGAUCUGAUGGGCUGGCACUACAAUGAUAGCGGUCUCUAUACAGUAAAAUCAGGCUAUUGGCUGGCAACGCAUCUCCCUGACAACAAUUUUAUACCACCAACUUACGGGAAUGUGGCUUUGAAGAAAACAAUAUGGAAUACAAAGUUACCAUCUAAAUUGAAACAUUUCCUUUGGAGAAUAUCAUCUCGGAGUAUAGCUACAGGAAACAACUUGCGAAGAAGACAUGUAACAAGAGAUGUGAUAUGUAAAAGAUGCUGGUUAGAAGAAGAAACAGAGGAACAUCUAUUCUUCACUUGCCCAUAUGCGAAAAAGAUUUGGAGGGCUUCAAGUAUUGCUAACAGAAUUAUUGAUAGCAUGACAACAAGUUAUGAAGAAAAAAUAGAGGCAUGUCUACAAGUGUCAAACGUGAUGAGAUUGAGCCAUCUUCAGGAUAUACCUGUUUGGAUUCUGUGGAGAAUUUGGAAGAGUAGAAAUCUACUACUAUAUCAUCAUCGACAACUAUUGGAGUAUGUGUUGGGAAACGCUAGAAGUGAUGCUCGAGAAUGGAAGAAUGCAGAUCAACAAGAAACUGAUACAUUAAACUGUAAUAGUGUAUCUUCUGGAGUAAGGAAAAAAUAAAAGUGGAAAGCACCACCAGCACAAUGGUUAAAAUGCAAUGUAGAUGCAUCAUUUAUUAACACUCAAGUACCGGCGUGUGCUGGUUGGGUCAUUCGGGACGAUAGAGGACGAUAUCAGGGAGCAGUACAGACCCAAGGUUAUGCAGUUUGCUCUUCUCUGGAGAGUGAGUUACAAGCUAUCCUUAUGGCACUAGAACACUGCUGGAGGAAAGGAUAUAGAAAGAUUAUAAUUGAAUCUGACUGUAAACAAGCUAUUGAUAUUCUCAAUGGUAAAGUGCUACACUUUGCUUGUUACAAUUGGAAAAGAGAGAUAUGGUGGUGGGCUGAGAAGAUUCAUGACGUCUCUUUCACAUGGAUACACCGUGAAGCAAAUAAAGUGGCUGAUGCGUUAGCUAGAAUAAGAAACCCCUCUAUGCCUAGCUUUUGCUUCUAUUAUUAUGUUCUUAUUUUGAUAACAAAUCUUCUACAUGAAGAUUAUGUACAAGUUUGAUUUUAAUAAUAAAGUUGCUGUAUUCAUCCGUCUCUUUCACAUGGAUUCACCGUGAAGCAAAUAAAUGGCUGAAGCGUUAGCUAGAAUAAGAAACCCCUCUAUGCCUAGCUUUUGUUUCUAUUAUUAUGUUCCUACUUUGAUAACAAAUCUUCUACAUGAAGAUUAUGUACAAGUUUGAUUUUAAUAAUAAAGUUGCUGUUAGAAAAAAAAAACGAAAAAAGGAACUAUAUUGGUUGGCAAAACAGAAAAAAAAAAGUAUAGGCGAUCCUACAUCAGUGUCUCUAUAAAUUCCCACCCAUCAGUCCCCUAACGAAAAAGAUCUGACAAACACUCUUUUCUCUCUCGCAAGCGAAAACAAAUCCGAGACUUAAGUUUCAUCCGUCUCUUUCACAUGGAUACACCAUGAAGCAAAUAAAGUGGCUGAUGCGUUAGCUAGAAUAAGAAACCCCUCUAUGCCUAGCUUUUGUUUCUAUUAUUAUGUUCAUACUUUGAUAACAAAUCUUCUACAUGAAGAUUAUGUACAAGUUUGAUUUUAUAAUAAAGUUGCAAUUAGAAAAAAAAAAACGAAAAAAAGAACUAUAGCGGUUGGCAAAACAGAAAAAAAAAAAGUAGAGGGGGUCCUACAUCAGUGUCUCUAUAAAUUCCCACUCAUCAGUCCUCUAACGAAAAAGAUUUGACAAACACUCUUUUCUCUCUCGCAAGCGAAAACAAAUCCGAGACUUAAGUUUUUUCUUCUUCUUUACAUUACUGUUCGAUUUCGUUCUCUCCCUCUUUCAAAUCCAAAAAACUAGGGUUUAGCAAUGUGGACAGCAACAAGUCUGGGUCGUGAUCCGUUGUUCAUGUCUUCUUCCUCCUCAAAUUCUGAUCGUGCGGCAGCAAUAAAGAUUAGGUUCGCAGAUAUAAUUGUUAAGUCAAGUAGUAACAAGUCCGAGGCAGGGCCGUGCCUAAACGAAAGCAAGUAAAGCAUGUGCUUUGGGCCUUAGAUAAAAUUAAGUAUUUAAAGGGCUAAUUAUUUACGAAAUCCUUCCCUAGUUUAGUUGGUUAAAAGAGCAUUUUGUAGGGUUAAAGGUAAAAAGUUUGAUUCUUUUCCUAGAAUAAAUUUUUAAAUUUCACUAAAAUAGCCAUAUAAUUAUUUUGUGCUUGGGGCCAUUUGAUGUCAGGCACGUCCCUGGUCUGAAGCUAUGAUGAAUAUCAAAAGAGAGAAGCUACUUCUUCAGAAAAGGCAGCUUCAAGAAAAAGCCAGGAUCGAGGCAAGGAUGAAAGUUAGACAAGAGGAAAGGCUUGCGUUAGUUAAGAUGGAAGAAGAAGAAGCAAGAUCAAACUGUAAGUUCGAACAAGAUCCCUUGUCUGCCGAAAAAGUCGAAAACGAACUGUUAAUUCUCAUUGGCGGUUCCCGUAAGGCAAGAGAUCGAUCUUUGCUUAAAAAGUUUGGGUUGGUUUUAAAAACUGAUCAUAUUGAUGAUGAUCGUCUUUAUGAUCUUGAGGAAGGUGAAAUCUUUUAAGAGUAGUAGUAGUUUCCUCACAGUUGUUUGAUUAGAAGAUCGUGUAGAAUUGUUUGAUGGUUAAUUGGUCUUUGAUCCUCUAAAGUUUUGAGUUUUAUUGUCAUGUCAUUCUUUCUUGAAGGUUGUAACUGAUUUACUAGAUAACAUCAACUUGAUUUGACUGCUCAAGUCAUUGCUUAUUUGCUUACGCUUCUAUGGAUAUUACACUGACACCACUGGACAUUGCCUUACAUUCCAUGGUUUUGUUUUGAUUUGGUCCUUUCAUCCUUUGGAUCUCUUUGAUUGAUCUUUCUUCUUUCUGUUUCAAUGUAUUUUGUGAGGUCAAAUGGCUUCCUGUAUCCCACAUAUUUUCUCGUGAUACUUAACCAUCUGCAUCUAAGCAGCCAUUCAGUGUCUAAAUAUAGCAAUUAUGAGGAAAGGCUGAGUUCAACAUCUUCUGUAAACAUUGGUGUAAACCGACUCUGUUUCUUACUUAGAAUCCACCUUGAUCUUCCGUCUAACUUCUUAUGCAUGCUCUGUGUUCAUCAAAUGUGGCAGAUCCGAGGGAUCGACAAACACCUCUUCAUUGACCAUUCUGUUGCUGUACCUUUUACCAGUGCUCAGCUGGUUGAUCUUAGUCAAGUUGAAGAUCCAAAGCUAGGCUCUCCAUCGACCUACAAAGAUCAGAGGUAUCAACAUAAAGAAUGUAAGCGCUGAUGAUUUCUAUACCAUUGUGGUUUCAGGCCAAACGUUUGAUUUGAUCGCAUCUUUCUAUACCUCACGUCUCAUCAACUUUAAAAUGAUUAUUAAGAAGGCUUCUCUUGUUGUGUCUAUAUGUCAUCAUCACUUGUUAAUUCUUUAAAACAAACCCGUUUGUUGAGGACACUUCGGCUCAUGGAAAGAUCAUAACAUAGGGUUUCCAAAAGAUGACCAAGAACAUACUGUAACUUAAAUUCUGUCACCCCCCACCCCCAAGAAAAAAAUGAUUCGCUUCUUUGUUCCCUCUCUUGGUCUUAUAAUCUGAAGAACAGUACACUUACCAUGAGAUAAUAGCAUAUGAUUUAUAGUCUUUUAUUUGAUUGAUUUCAAGAAAAAAACGAACAACCGUCGAUUAUUAGAAAAAUAGAAAAAAGAAGGAGUAAUUAGUAACGGUUAGAUUUUAAUAGAUUUGUAGAAAAAAGGAAACAACCAAUAUAUUUAUUAGAAGAAAGGGAAAAAAAAACUAUUGGUUGUUUCCUUUUUUCUAAUACGUUUAUGAUCAGGGUCUUGAGAAAUGAAAAAUAAAUAAAUAACUAAUUAACACUGAAUAUUAGAAGAAACGAAAAAAGAAAUACCUAGUUAUUAACGGCUGGACUUUUGUCUAAACAAAAAAAAAACGAAAUAGGGAAAUUAGGUGAUAUUCAUAUAACCAAACAAAAACCCAUAAUUCAUUAUAUAACCAAAAUCACACCUUCUUUCCUCUUCUCACUUCCUAUCUAUCUAUCUAUCUCUACCUUCUUUCUACAAAACAAAUUUUACUUUUUUUUUUUGGUUAUAUCACAAAUAACUCCAAGGAAAUAUACCCAUUGCAAAACAAUAAUCGAAAUUUAAGAAAAAGGAAAAAGGAAAUAGAGCGGGUCCCGCUUAACAACAUCACCUCUCCUUUAUAAACACACUGGGUCUCUCCUACAGAAAUAGAUUUUCUUCACAGACACGCUUCGCUCUCGCAAGACAAACAACAAAUCUGCUGUGUCGAUCACGUUCUUUCCCACUCUCUGUUUCAAAUCCAAAAACUAGGGUUUUAGCAAUGACGACAGCAACAAGUCUGGGUGGUGAUCCGUUGUUCUUGUCCUCUUCCUCCUCCUCAAAAUCUGAUCGUGCGGCAGCGAUAAAGAUUAGGUUUGCAGAUAUAAUUAUCAAGUCGAGUAGUAACAUGUCUGAGGCUAUAAUGACGAUCAGAAGAGAGAAGCAACUUCUACAGAGAAGGCAGCUUGAAGAAAAAGCCAUGAUUGAGGAAAGGAUGAAAGUCAGACAAGAGGAAAGGCUUGCGAUAAUGAAGAUGGAAGGAGAAGAAGAAGCAAGAUCAAACUGCAAGUUCGAACAAGAUCCCUUGUCUGCCAAAAAAACCGAAAAAGAACUGGUAAAACUCAUUGGCGGCUCCCGUAAGGCAAGAGAUCGAUCUUUACUUAAAAAGUUUGGGUUGGUUUUAAAAACUGAUCAUAUUGAUGAUGAUCUUCUUUAUGAUCUUGAGGAAGGUGAAAUCUUUUAGAGUACUAGUAGUUUCCUCACAGUUGAAUCAUAGUAAAGUUUGCAUAUUAACAGUUUUAACCAGUGAUGAUGAUGGAUGAUCUGCGUGAUGAUCCUGAGGAACGUGAAGCGUUUAGAGUAGUAUCUUUUUUUAUUUCUGUGUAUGAUUUAGGAAACAUGUCUACACUUUUUAAGUGGAAGAUCGUGUAGAAUUGUUUGAUGAUUAAUUGGUCUUUGUGUUCUCUAAAAAGUCUUGAGUUUUACUUGUCUUGUGUUUUUUUUUUUCACUGCCUUCAAACGGAUGAUGAUGAUGAUCUUCUUGAGGAAUUUCUUAAUAGCUAAUUGCUCUUUGUUUCUUUAUAAAAGUAAUCUGAGUUUUGGUUUUGAUUACCAUUGCUGAUUGGGUUUCAAUCUUUUCAAUCCCCUGUUCUGAAUACAGAUCCAACAAGUUUUAAUUCUCCUUUAGUCUUCUUGAUUGCUUUCAAACUCGUUAAAUCUAUUCAAAGAUCCUACUUCUUCAGCUGAGAUUUUGCUUUGUCUGUGCUAAGUAUUUCAGAUUUUCUUUAGGCAAAUUAGUCAAAGUCAUCUCCCUAAACCUUUUUUGACCACUCAAUUGAUUCUCUUUCUGAUUUAGGAUGGAAGUGACCAAAGCUUCAUUCUCUUCACAGCAAACAAACGCACAGAAACAAGGCUCUGUUUCCAACCACUGUAACAAGGCAUUACGCUUAAUGUUUUCUUAUAGAUGAUUGGUCUUGUAAAAGUAGAGAUCCAAGGCUAGGCUUUCCAUCGACCUACUAACAGCAGAGUGAUAGUCGCAGGUUGUGGCCCAUGGAAUGGAAGCUUCAUUGUGCAAAGGCUAGUCUUGUUUUCAAAUAGCAGAAUAACUAAUUUCUCUCAGCGUAAUCGACAUCAGAGUACAUUCCCUUGGAUCCUGAGAAAAGGUCGCUUCCUUAAGGGUUGUAUUGAUGAUACUUGUGUAAUGAUUAUUGAAGCAUCAAUUGGCGGUGGCUGCCAAGGCUGAGGCUAGUUCCAUAAGUUACAUAAUUGCUCAGAAUAUUGAUGGUUUAACAUUUUCUUAUUUUCCGAGAAAUUCUCUUGUAAAUCACACUUUUGUUUUUCAUGUCAUGUGGUUUAUUGUUUGAUAAGAAGAGGUGAUUGUAAAGACAACAAUACAGUCAUUGUGAUGUACUAUGAUUGAUAAAACUAGAGUGUUAAGCCA